CCCUGGUUGAUCCUGCCAGUAGUCAUAUGCUUGUCUCAAAGAUUAAGCCAUGCAUGUCUCAGUACAAGCCAAAAUAAGGUGAAACCGCGAAAGGCUCAUUAAAUCAGUUAUGGUUCCUUAGAUCGUACCCACAUUUACUUGGAUAACUGUGGUAAUUCUAGAGCUAAUACAUGCAAACAGAGCUCCGACCGGAGACGGAAGGAGUGCUUUUAUUAGAUCAAAACCAAUCGGCGUCAGUAGCGUUUCGGCGUUAUUGUUCGUCGCACUUUUUGGUGACUCUGAAUAACUUUUGGCUGAUCGCACGGUCUUGCACCGGCGACGCAUCUUUCAAAUGUCUGCCUUAUCAACUGUCGAUGGUAGGUUCUGCGCCUACCAUGGUUGUAACGGGUAACGGGGAAUCAGGGUUCGAUUCCGGAGAGGGAGCCUGAGAAACGGCUACCACAUCCAAGGAAGGCAGCAGGCGCGCAAAUUACCCACUCCCGGCACGGGGAGGUAGUGACGAAAAAUAACGAUACGGGACUCAUCCGAGGCCCCGUAAUCGGAAUGAGUACACUUUAAAUCCUAUAACAAGGACCAAUUAGAGGGCCAGUCUGGUGCCAGCCGCCGCGGUAACUCCAGCUCUAAUAGCGUAUAUUAAAGUUGUUGCGGUUAAAAAGCUCGUAGUUGAAUCUGUGUUUCGCGCUGUCGGUUCACCGCCCGCGGUGUUUAACUGGCACGUCUCGCGGAACGUCCUGCCGGUGGAUGCGUGUCCUUUGUCUACUUACCCAUUAUGCGUGUGCAAUUUCGGUUGUUACUGUAUAGUGCGGUGAGGUUCAAAUGUGUCACCAUCCGACUCAAUAAUCCUGUCGCGGUGCUCUUAAUUGAGUGUCGAGGCGGGCCGGCACGUUUACUUUGAACAAAUUAGAGUGCUCAAAGCAGGCUAAAAUUUCGCCUGAAUACUGUGUGCAUGGAAUAAUGGAACAGGACCUCGGUUCUAUUUUGUUGGUUUUCGGAACCCCGAGGUAAUGAUUAAUAGGGACAGAUGGGGGCAUUCGUAUUGCGACGUUAGAGGUGAAAUUCUUGGAUCGUCGCAAGACGGACAGAAGCGAAAGCAUUUGCCAAAAAUGUUUUCAUUAAUCAAGAACGAAAGUCAGAUGUUCGAAGGCGAUCAGAUACCGCCCUAGUUCUGACCAUAAACGAUGCCAGCUAGCGAUCCGCCGACGUUCCUCCGAUGACUCGGCGGGCAGCUUCCGGGAAACCAAAGCAUUUGGGUUCCGGGGGAAGUAUGGUUGCAAAGCUGAAACUUAAAGGAAUUGACGGAAGGGCACCACCAGGAGUGGAGCCUGCGGCUUAAUUUGACUCAACACGGGAAACCUCACCAGGCCCGGACACCGGAAGGAUUGACAGAUUGAUAGCUCUUUCUUGAUUCGGUGGGUGGUGGUGCAUGGCCGUUCUUAGUUGGUGGUGUGAAUUGUCUGGUUAAUUUCGAUAACGAACGAGACGCUAACCUGCUAAAUAGGCGUAUUUCUGGUAUCCUGAAGGCUUGUGUCUCUCGUUUUCUGUCGUAUUUUAGCUGUAGUGUAUCAUCGUUUAGGCGGUGUGCAUUAUACUAGAUGCGUUUCAGUGCGGGAGUUCACAGUUUUUACUACCAGCGUACAUNNCGUGUCUUCCCUGGCCGAACGGCCCGGGUAACCCGCUGAACCUCCUUCGUGCUAGGGAUUGGGGCUUGCAAUUGUUCCCCAUGAACGAGGAAUUCCCAGUAAGCGCGAGUCAUAAGCUCGCGUUGAUUAAGUCCCUGCCCUUUGUACACACCGCCCGUCGCUACUACUGAUUGAAUGAUUUAGUGAGGUCCUCGGACUGGUACGCGGGGUCGUUUUCACGUUCUCCGAUGUCGCUGGGAAGAUGACCAAACUU
rnacentral:rRNA from 1 species